UACGAAGGGGGCUAGCGUUGCUCGGAAUUACUGGGCGUAAAGAGCGCGCAGGCGGUCGUGCAAGUCGCGUGUGAAAGCCCCCGGCUCAACUGGGGAGGGUCACGCGAUACUGCUCGACUUGAAGGCAGGAGAGGGAAGUGGAAUUCCCGGUGUAGUGGUGAAAUGCGUAGAUAUCGGGAGGAACACCAGUGGCGAAGGCGACUUCCUGGCCUGUUCUUGACGCUGAGGCGCGAAAGCUAGGGUAGCAAACGGG
rnacentral:rRNA from 1 species